rnacentral:rRNA from 1 species
GACGUAGGGCGCGAGCGUUGUCCGGAUUUAUUGGGCGUAAAGAGCUCGUAGGCGGCUUGUCGCGUCGUUCGUGAAAACUCACAGCUCAACUGUGAGCUUGCGGUCGAUACGGGCAGGCUAGAGUUCGGUAGGGGAGACUGGAAUUCCUGGUGUAGCGGUGAAAUGCGCAGAUAUCAGGAGGAACACCGGUGGCGAAGGCGGGUCUCUGGGCCGAUACUGACGCUGAGGAGCGAAAGCGUGGGGAGGGAACAGG